GCCAGACGGGCGCUGCUCCCUGGGUUGUUGCCUUGGGAAUGAGGCGACCUGAUCAGGGAUGGUGCGGCCAGGUCGAUCGACCUUUUGGGACCUUUGUCUCCCUAUUCUUAAAUCGAAGGAGGAGCUGGCUGAGGUCACUGCCAGCGCUGAUCCCCGGGUGACCUCCUUCUCAGAACCUCUGCUGUGAGGACUGGACGUAGGGGGCUUGGCACGGGUAGAGGCAACAGGAGCUGCCAGGGACAGGGAGGAGAGACGAUGCAGAGUCACUGCUGAAGUAAGUCAGGGUCCGAGAACCCAAACCCCAGAUUAAAACAGAUAACACAAAUUAACAACAGGAUGGGUUCAAGGAGAAUCCUUAGAGACCGCUGGGCCAGGGUGUCAACAGCCACAGCGGGGAGAGCUCUGAGGUUCAGGAUAUGGGAAACGUGUCCCCGAAAUGCCAGCCUUCGGGUGACCGUAGAGGCUCCAUGGGUCCACUUGGCCAGUACUGUGGGGGCCCUCAAGUCCUGGGCCUGCAGGGGAAAGCACAGUUUUCUAACAGCCAUCCGUACUGAGCUGCUGCUUCUGGGCACAGUGACCCAGAGUCUGGGGGUCUGAGCACCUCUAAAGGCUGGGUUAAUGGGUUCUGAAGAUCUGCUUAGUGACGUCAGUCAGGACAAGGACUGAAAGGCAAAACAGGAGGGCAAAACAGGUAGCCGGAGAGUGGCGCAGGGAGCGCAACACAUGCCUGGGCUCCCACCUCUGUUAGAAGGCCACCCACUGAGCAUACCCCAUCCUCCCUAGGGGCCUCCCAGUGCUGGGCUGGUGAAAAGAGGGCAGAGAGGAGAUGGGGCGUGGGCAAAUCACUUCCUCUCUGGGCCUCAAUUUCCCCAUCUGAGAGGCAUCCAACUCUAGGGAAUCAUAAUGUCUUUUUCUAAGUUGUAAUGUCGCGCUGCAGAAACCUCCACCCAUGGUUUUGCUUCUGUGGGUGUGACCAGCCUCACGUCAUCCCCCACCCCAGGGACUCCUCAUGUAGGAGGGGGCUCUCCAGCACUCUCGUCUGCUCACACCACACUCAGCCACUUCAACAGGGCUGCCACAGCAAAGAGAACACCAAAGCUGCUCCAGCCCACCCAGGCUGGAGGGCUAGGGGACACCCUGUCAUGCCGUACUUCCACGUGUCUGAGUUCAACCCCCAAGGCCUCCACCUGAAGUCCUGGCUGCCACACCCCGGAAGCGUGAGGCAUGAGCUGAGGGGACGCAGACUGAUGACAUCUUUAAAGGCACAGAGAUUGCGUCCCAAAAAAGUGAAAGAUUCUGGUCACCUGCAACACCUCCCCGAGCCAUUCCGCGUUGGCCUGGCCUCUCUGCGCCCAGUGUGGAGAAGGAAGGUAAGUUAACGUGGAACAGUCGUCAACAGACAAGCUUAUGGUUUGAUUGACACUGGAUGGUAAACUGAGGCCCAGAGAACCCAGCAAUUUAGCCCCAAGGACACAAAGCCACCCGGGGGUGGGAGAUGGAACGCCUGACCCCAGUCUUACGCUUUUACCAGCUGAGCCACCUCACAGGUGAUCUUGCUGGCCUCAGCACAGCAUGAGAAGGCCGUGUCAUCCCAGGAGGUCAGAGCUUCUUCUUGCAGCAUAGCGUGCUCUGGCCAAUGGCAAAGUGGUCCCAUAUUUCUGUUGGAGAAGCCUGGGCUGGAGGCUUCCUUAUUCCCCUGCCACAGCCACCUAGGUCUGCUUGGCAUGCUGUCUGGAAAAGGACAUCCAGAGUGCCAGGCAGAACAAGCUGUCACUAGUGCAGAGGCUGCAGCCACCCCACGCAGUGUGAGGGAGAGCACAGACUGGUCCAGGCCCCCUGCACAGUCUCCACCCUGUACAUGUUCCUAACCAGAGUCAUGGUCUCCAAGGGGCAGAUGGGCACAGCUCCAAGAGGACCAGAUCAGCACCAGGGCGGGCGUGUGCUCUGAAACAAAGCCCACCCCAGGAGGGGAAAAACAAGCUCUGAAGGCUCACCGACACUUUUGCAAACAUCCAACUUCACGGAGACCCUAGCCCUGUGAACUGCCAGAAUCACCCACAGCAAUAGGUCCUGAGCACGCUGACGCCCAGCUGGCAGAGGGGGCUGCCCAGGUCUCAGCACGACAGCAAACUCCUGCAAAACUAGAGUGCUCACCAUGACCCCAGCCUGGGCAGCACACCUUCCUAGGCCAGGCCCACCUGACAUCUUCAAGGCCGGGUCUGGAUGCAGUGGCAAAGCCUCAAUUGUCAAUUCAGUGACCUCCUCAGCCACCUCCUUCCAGGGCCAGAGCCAGAGAGAAGGGAUAGAGGCCAGGUGGAGGCCCACCUUCCCAGCUGAUGCCCACCUGCUCCUCAGCCACUGUUCAGGCCUGAGUCGCUGAGCCAGCAGCAAGAUGUGAAUGAGGUUUGGGGAGGAUCUAGAGGGGCCAGGCUGGGGAGGUUUCACUGCCCAGAACCAGGGACAGUUCUCUCAGGUGGUCUGGAAGGAGUGGGUGAACAGCUGCUUAUCAGAAAACAUUACCUAAUUGGGGCCUAACUGGGAAGGUUUAUGGGGCCAGGCAGGGGGGCUCCCCGGGGGGGAUGGUGAAAGCCGCUCAUGAGUCAUUUGAAACUGAGCCGGACAAAGAGCUUAAGGAGAAAUGAUCCCACCCAGUCUGCCAGCCAUAGGUAGAAUGAGCUCAUGGACUCUGGGGCGCACAUGAAUGCAUGUGUGUGUGUGUGAGUGUGUGCGUGCGUGUGUGUGCAUGAGAGAGGUGUAGAGAGGGAAGGGAAGAGCGGGGAGGAAAAGAAGAGAAGAGAGAAAAAGCUGGUAGUCACACAGCUGGGACUCAGAAACUGAGCCCAGCUCUCCCCUGGGUGUGGAGCCGCCACUGUGGGCCACAUUACUGCAUGGGCAGGCUGCCCCCUGCAGGUCGGCGAGGGAAGGGCCCCGUAUCUCAGUCAACAUCGUGGUUCAGCAAUCCAGCCAGCAUCCUGGUCUAGCAUCCUCGUCCAGCAUCCCAGCCAGCUUCCUGGCCAGCAUCAGGCCAGCAUAAGCAUACCUUCUCUGCGGUGCCCAGCACAGGACCUGUUCUGGGAUAAAUGCCAAAUGGGCAUGGAGUGUUUUCUUCAGUGGGACACCAGCUGUUCACACCACUUCAUCCUCUGUGAGAUGUGUGUUGGAGAUGGAUGCAUAAUAAACAUUUUUAACAUGUUUAUUCAAAUGUUUACAACUUAUUUUGAAAGAAUGGCAGAUCCACAUGCACCUGUGAAAUAAUAAAGAGACUCCUCGUAUCCUUCACCUGGUUUCUCCCAAUGAUAACUUCUUGCAAACUGUAGGACAGUACGACAAGCCAGCAAGCUGGCAUUGACAAAAUCCAUUGACCUUGCUGCCCGCACUCAUCUGUG
rnacentral:lncRNA from 1 species